GGAAAGAAAAUGGAGCACAGAGUGGCCAAGUGAUGAGGCAAAAGGAGAGCCAGAAUCCAGAGGGACGAGUUAGAAUUCUCCAGACACAGCCUGCACAAGGGGCCCACCCCUGCUCUGGAUUUCGUUGUACACCUUCAAGCUCACAUGAAGCAGAAUCUACACUUUGGAUGACCCAUGGCUUUUGGGGUUCGCCUACUGGAAAAGAGAAUAGAGGAAUAAUGUGAAGAAGGCAGUUGGAAAAGCUUCUUCCUACCUCCCUGGACCUCCCAAUACGAGACAGAAAUGAUCUGAAGGUGCAGUGGAUUUUCUCCCUGAAGCUCCUGGCUACAAGGUAGGCAUGGCUCCUUGGGAUAUUGAAAAAUUUAUAUGCUGCCUAUAUGGACACAAAAGCGUGUGUGUGAGGUGUGCUCACUCUAGUUGUCUCAGGACAGCUAGAUCACACUUAAUCAUCUUUCAAGAAUUGACUCAAAAGAAAC
rnacentral:lncRNA from 1 species